CUGCUCACUUUGGUAGCACAUAUACUAAAAUUGGAAUGAUACAGAGGAGAUUUAGCAUGGCCCCUGCAUAGGGAUGACACAAUGCUAUGAAACUAGAAAUCAACCAUA
rnacentral:snRNA from 1 species